GUAGUAUUCCCUCCAUUCAGAAUUACUUGUCGUAGAAAUGGAUGUAUCUAGACAUUUUCUAGUUCGAGAUACAUUUAUUUCUGCGACAAGUAAUUCGAAACGGAGAGAGUAUAUG
rnacentral:pre_miRNA from 1 species